rnacentral:rRNA from 1 species
GUGAGGAAUAUUGGUCAAUGGGCGCAAGCCUGAACCAGCCAUGCCGCGUGCAGGAAGACGGUCCUAUGGAUUGUAAACUGCUUUUAUUUGGGAAUAAACUCCGGUACGUGUACCGGCCUGAAGGUACCAAAUGAAUAAGCACCGGCUAACUCCGUGCCAGCAGCCGCGGUAAUACGGAGGGUGCAAGCGUUAUCCGGAAUCAUUGGGUUUAAAGGGUCCGCAGGCGGUCUUAUAAGUCUGUGGUGAAAGCCUACAGCUCAACUGUAGAACUGCCAUUGAUACUGUAGGACUUGAAUUCGAUCGAAGUGGGCGGAAUGUGACAUGUAGCGGUGAAAUGCUUAGAUAUGUCACAGAACACCGAUAGCGAAGGCAGCUCACUAGGUCUGGAUUGACGCUCAGGGACGAAAGCGUGGGGAGCAAACAGGAUUAGAAACCCUGGUAGUCC